CUGCGGUGAUGACUUUCUUAGGACACCUUUGGAUUUACCGUGAAAAUAAACACAUUCUGAGCAGC
ensembl:snoRNA SNORD58 Small nucleolar RNA SNORD58